rnacentral:rRNA from 1 species
UACGUGGGGCACAAGCGUUAUCCGGUUUUACUGGGCGUAAAGAGAUGCGUAGGCGACCUAAUAAGUUUGAAGUGAAAUCCCGGUACUUACUAUCGGAACUGCUUUAAAAACUAUUAGGAUUGAGUCGGAUAGAGGAGAGAGGAAUUCCUGGUGGAGCGGUUAAAUGCGUUGAUAUCAGGAGGAACACCGAUUGUGAAGACAUCUCUCUGGAUCUUGACUGACGCUAAGGCUCGAAAGCGUGGGGAGCAAA